UACAGAGGUCUCAAGCGUUGUUCGGAUUCACUGGGCGUAAAGGGUGCGUAGGUGGCCAGGUAAGUUCGGUGUGAAAGCUCGGAGCUUAACUCCGAAAUGGCAUUGAAUACUAUCUGGCUAGAGGGUCGGAGGGGAGACUGGAAUUCUCGGUGUAGCAGUGAAAUGCGUAGAUAUCGAGAGGAACACCAGUGGCGAAGGCGAGUCUCUGGACGACACCUGACACUGAGGCACGAAAGCCAGGGGAGCAAACCGGG
rnacentral:rRNA from 1 species